rnacentral:rRNA from 1 species
AUUGAACGCUGGCGGCAUGCUUUACACAUGCAAGUCGAACGGUAACAGGUUAAGCUGACGAGUGGCGAACGGGUGAGUAAUGCAUCGGAACGUGCCCGGUCGUGGGGGAUAACGCAGCGAAAGCUGCGCUAAUACCGCAUACGAUCUGAGGAUGAAAGCGGGGGACCGUAAGGCCUCGCGCGAUCGGAGCGGCCGGUGUCAGAUUAGGUAGUUGGUGGGGUAAAGGCUAACAAAGCCGUCGAUCUGUAGCUGGUCUGAGAGGACGACCAGCCAAGCUGGUACUGAGACAAGGCCCAGGCUCCGACGGGGCGCAGCAGGGGGAAAUUUUGGACAAUGGGCGCAAGCCUGAACCAGCAAUGCCGGGUGCAGGAAGAAGGCCUUCGGGUUGUAAGCUGCUUUUGUACGGAGCGAAAAGGCUCUCUCUAAUACAGGGGGUUCAUGACGGUACCGUAAGAAUAAGCACCGGCUAACUCCGUGCCAGCAGCCGCCGUAA